AUGAUGCUUGGACUGGUUCUGAGGGUUUCUGGGAUUUGUUUCCUGCUCUUCAACAGUGGUGCUUGUUACCCUGCGGUUAAAGGCGGUCAGACAAAUCCUAAUGCAGCUGCCACCAGUGGGCUUAGUGGAUCUCUUCCUUAUGCCGCUGCUCCUGCAGCCGGCGGCUUAGGUUACAGACCUGUGCCUUACGGAAACCCGGCUGUUGCAGGUGUUCCUGGAGGAGCAGACUCCUCAUUCUACAACCCAAGCAACUGGAUGCCAUCCCGUGGUUUUCCAGACUUCAGCGUCUGGGAAACGGAUAACCAGGAGAUGGCGCAGAGCGGGAAGGAUCAGUCUGAUGUGCCGCCUCCAGCCAUCAUCAUCCAGUCCUGGAAUGGCUACCAGCGAGCAAGAGAAGACCUUUCCCACACAAAGUACUCCCUAGACUACUAUGACCCACCAGCCUUUCCCUGGGAGGCUGCCAAAGCACCGAGCAAGACCAGUGAGAGAAGAAAGGCUGGUGGGUCAUAGUAGUCUAGGGAGUACUUGGUGUGGGAAAGGUCUUCUCUUGCUCGCUGGUAGCCAUUCCAGGACUGGAUGAUGGGUGGAGGCGGCACAUCAAACGGAUCACUCACGCUCUGCGGCAUCUCCUGGUUAUCCGUUUCCCAGACGCUGAAGUCUGGAAAACCACUGGACGGCAUCCAUUUGCUCGGGUCGUAGAAUGACGAGUCGGCUCCGCCAGCAACACCUGGAACAGCAGGGUUUACGUAGGCGUAUGGAUCAGGUCUGUAAGAGGGGUAGGUUGCAGGAGCGGCAGCGUAAGGACCAGGUCCAGCACCCAAGCUGGAGGAUGCAGCCAUGGUCCCAGCAGUUUCCGCAGGGUAUGCAAAUGAAGCACUAUAGACAGGGCUGGAUGCCGCCACAUUAGUGUUUCCACCGGGGCCAGCUGCAGGCCGGUGCUGCACAGAAAAGCUAGGAGCCCUGGAGGGUUUGUUAGAGCUGGAAUCAUAGGUCACAAUAAAUCUGUUUGGCUCAUAACUUUGUGAGGAACCUGCAGCCCCAACAGCAGCUCCCAGGCUGGAUGGGAACUGGUUUCCGGUGCCAGCCUGAUAAGGGGCUGCUUGCGGUUGCAGGGGAAGACGUGAGCGUUCCGACAGAGGUUUGGAUCUGGGAUCAGGUCUACCACUGGAUCCCCAUGUAGGUGUGUACGGAUAUCUGUAGUCUGGACAGAGAUUUCAGAGUUAAGUUAGGACCGAGUUCAGGAAACCUUCUGAGACAAUACAUGCGUAAACCUCAAGUUCCUAGUUCUUUUUAAAAAGGAGUUAGUGCAAGACUCUUAAAUUUGGUAAAGCAGUGUUACUAACAAACACCACUUGUUGAUUUUGUUUUAUCCUCAACAUUCAAGGGGCACUUAACUACAAUGAAAACUAACCUGACUCACUAUGAGCCUACAGUUAUCUUUGGAGACCAACAGCAAAUAUAGUGUUCUUGCAUUUAGUAGAGAAAAAUCUUCCAAGGGUCAUAUGAUGUGUCGGGUUUCAGUUUGCAUCUUCCAAAGGUUUCAGACCUUUCACAGCUACCAUUGAACUGAAUUAAUAUUAUAUACAUUCUUUUAAAUUCAAUUUUAUAGCACCAAUUCAUAACAUAAGUUAUCUCAGGACACUUUUCAAGUAGAGUAGGUCUAGACCAAACUCCUGAUAACAUUUACAGAGACCCAGCAGUACCACCUUUAACAUAAAGAAAGGUCACAGCUUCACCAGAUAAGGAAACUCACCUCCUUUUGUUGCAGGAAAACAAGCACCACUGCUCAAUAACAGACAGAUCCAGGAAACCCUGUAAGAGAAGAGAAGAGAAAUCAAUUCCCCUGAAAGCUUAAAUUAGUCACAACUUCAGCAGAAAACAAACUCACCUUAAAGCAAGUCCAAGUGCCAUGGUUGACUCAAAAGAGCAGUAGUUUCAGCCUCAGCAGCCCAGUGGAAGUUGUAGAAAGAAGCUUUGUGCUGCUCCUAUAUUGGUGCUCCACAGGCUCUCUGCACUAAUUAAACUCAUUAAUGACACCUGGAGCCCAAUCAGACCCUGCAGAGGCAAAGCCCGUCUCCAGUGGUGGAAAAUGGGAUCGUCAUAUUUUAUCAAAUUAUAAUCUAAAAAGUGGCUUGUGACUAUAAAGUGAGAUAAAUGUAAUCAAAAGUACAAUAUUUAAUAGUAAAACAUAAAGAGUAGAAGUAGAAAGUGCUG
rnacentral:lncRNA from 15 species